rnacentral:lncRNA from 1 species
ACCCAGCAUUGAACUCACUAGUCAGGUUACCUCUUAGGCCUUUUCCCUGAUGAAGUAAUGAUUUCAACUGCAAGAUUUGUUUUUCAGUGCUGGGUCACUUCUGUGGCUCUUCUGUCCAGUAUCUUCAAAUCCAUCUUGCUGAUGUUCUUACCGUGCUGUGUACAGAGGCAGUCUCAGCUUUUCAUUUCUGCUUGUCUUCCCCAGAGCCUGACCUCAUCUUGAUUCAAAGAGACCCUGCACCUCCCCAGGUAUCAGGCAAACAACAGGAGAUGGGAUCUGAGAAAAGGAAAUAUUAGAAAUCCUGAAAUUAUUUGGGAGCAGAUGAGUUGCCUGGACAGAAAAGCCGACUGUGUGCCUGAUCUUGGGGUCACAAGAGUAUGCUGUGGCACUCUGGGGCAGGGAGAGAUUAAAAAAAGAGGAGUGCUCUUUGAGAAAGUAAUUGGCAGUUAUCUCAUAAAUGAAGGAAGUGAUAAUGUGUGGUUACAUUAUUGUGCAUAA